UGGGGAAUAUUGCACAAUGGGCGCAAGCCUGAUGCAGCCAUGCCGCGUGUGUGAAGAAGGCCUUCGGGUUGUAAAGCACUUUCAGCGAGGAGGAAGGUGGUGAGCUUAAUACGCUCAUCAAUUGACGUUACUCGCAGAAGAAGCACCGGCUAACUCCGUGCCAGCAGCCGCGGUAAUACGGAGGGUGCAAGCGUUAAUCGGAAUUACUGGGCGUAAAGCGCACGCAGGCGGUUUGUUAAGUCAGAUGUGAAAUCCCCGGGCUCAACCUGGGAACUGCAUUUGAAACUGGCAAGCUAGAGUCUCGUAGAGGGGGGUAGAAUUCCAGGUGUAGCGGUGAAAUGCGUAGAGAUCUGGAGGAAUACCGGUGGCGAAGGCGGCCCCCUGGACGAAGACUGACGCUCAGGUGCGAAAGCGUGGGGAGCAAAACAGGAUUAGAUAUCCUGGUAGUCCACGCUGUAAACGAUGUCGAUUUUGGAGGUUGUGCCCUUGAGGCGUGGCUUCCGGAGCUAACGCGUUAAAGUCGA
rnacentral:rRNA from 1 species